rnacentral:misc_RNA from 1 species
GUGGCGUCGAUAUGAGGCGGGCUGGACCUCUCGGGGUUACAGCCUUGCUGAAUUAUUCACCCUUGUCUUUUGCGUACUUCUUGUUUCCUUGGUGGGUUCGCCCACCACUAGGACAAACAUAAACCUUUUGUAAUUGCAAUCAGCGUCAGUAACAAAUUAAUAAUUACAACUUUCAACAACGGAUCUCUUGGUUCUGGCAUCGAUGAAGAACGCAGC